rnacentral:lncRNA from 1 species
GAGGAGCCCGUAUGCAAAUUUUCACCAACUGGCGUGUGGUCUUAUGGGUAAAACGUAGAGGCUGUUUCGCGGUCUCUCCGAGCCCCAGGGGGUUAAAAAGUAGCGGUUUACGUUCACAGUCGUGGUUACUGGAGCUACGCUAGCUAAGAGACAGGCUAGGGCGGGAGUCCUCAGUUAGUCACCACAACCCAACCCAGUAUUGGCGCUUCCUGGUCACAGUGGGGCGCCCAAACCCACUCAACGUCCCCUGACUACAACAUAGAAACUACGCUACAGAAUAACAGUCCCCAGGAAGACUGGCAGAUGCAGCAAAACCACAGAGAAAUAGCCAGAGAAACCAAAGAUGCUGGAAAGAGGACAGAAGGCAGUGCCAGUUCUACAGGAGUUCUACAGAAUGACAACUUCAAAAAUAGCUUUCAAAACAGAAGGAUUCUCAGCAAUGUCGGAUGCUUUACUCCAGUGCCUCUUGGAGACAGAAACGACCAUUCAAGGCUCCAGGGACAGAACCACACAAAAGCUCCUCCUACUUAUCCACAAAGAAAUACUGGCUGUUACAGAGGCAGCAAGGCCAAGAGGCAGAGCUGAGACCGAUGACUGGAUAGCAACAUCGCACGUGCCUACCAAGAGUCCUAACAGGCCUAGGAAACACCGUCCAGAGAGCACGUGCCAAUCCCACAGCCUCUCCCCAGAAGCCACCAUACCAACAUGGGAAAGCAGCAUCAACUAGACAAUUUUACCUCACUUGGAUUGAAAAUGAAAAAACAUCAAAGAAACCCUCCAGGCACUCUUCAAAACAUCUCACUGUGGACUACCAGGGAAGGUAGUAUGCCCCCAAG